rnacentral:rRNA from 1 species
GCUUGUCUCAAAGAUUAAGCCAUGCACGUCUAAGUAUAAGCGAUUAUACUGUGAAACUGCGAAUGGCUCAUUAUAUCAGUUAUAGUUUAUUUGAUGGUCCUUGCUACUUGGAUAACCGUAGUAAUUCUAGAGCUAAUACAUGCAUAAAUCCCCGACUGCUUGGAAGGGGUGUACUUAUUAGAUAAAGCCAACGCUGGGUAAAACCAGUUUCCCUUGGUGAUUCAUAAUAAUUAAGCGGAUCGCAUGGCCUUGUGCUAGCGACAGUCCACUCGAUUUUCUGCCCUAUCAUGGUUGAGAUUGUAAGAUAGAGGCUUACAAUGCCUACAACGGGUAACGGGGAAUUAGGGUUCGAUUCCGGAGAGGGAGCCUGAGAAACGGCUACCACAUCCAAGGAAGGCA